CCAAAAGAUAAUCUUUCAUUCGAAAGAUCUUUUCCUUUGUGCUGGCUUUGACCGUAUGUAAUUUUGGGACUUAAACAUGGUAGCCUUAUGGUUGCCGGUCCCAAAAACAAUAUAUCAUCCUUAUGAAAACUUACUGAACAACUAAACAAUGAUUUUAAUAAUCUUUUAAUA
rnacentral:misc_RNA from 1 species